rnacentral:rRNA from 1 species
UACGAAGGGGGCUAGCGUUGCUCGGAAUCACUGGGCGUAAAGCGCACGUAGGCGGAUUGCUAAGUCAGGGGUGAAAUCCUGGAGCUCAACUCCAGAACUGCCUUUGAUACUGGCGAUCUCGAGUCCGGGAGAGGUGAGUGGAACUGCGAGUGUAGAGGUGAAAUUCGUAGAUAUUCGCAAGAACACCAGUGGCGAAGGCGGCUCACUGGCCCGGUACUGACGCUGAGACGCGAAAGCGGUGGGGAGCAAACAGG